rnacentral:snoRNA from 1 species
ACGACCUUACUUGGACAGGAUCUGUUCUAUAGGUUGUACAUCUGUAUCCUUGAUUUCUAAGGAGACAGGAACCAAAGUCCGGUGGAUGAACCAUGACCGUUGGGAUCAGUCGCUGAUAUCAAGCAGGCUGGGGUGGUCACUAGGGGUGGGCACGGUUC